rnacentral:rRNA from 1 species
CCUACGGGUGGCAGCAGUGGGGAAUAUUGGGCAAUGGACGCAAGUCUGACCCAGCAACGCCGCGUGAAGGAAGAAGGCUUUCGGGUUGUAAACUUCUUUUAAGGGGGAAGAGCAGAAGACGGUACCCCUUGAAUCAGCCACGGCUAACUACGUGCCAGCAGCCGCGGUAAUACGUAGGGGGCAAGCGUUAUCCGGAAUUACUGGGUGUAAAGGGGGGGUAGAGGGUGAUGUAAGGCUGGAGUGAAAGGCGGGGGCCCAACCCCCGGACUGCUCUGGAAACUAUGUGACUGGAGUGCAGGAGAGGUGAGCGGAAUUCCUAGUGUAGCGGUGAAAUGCGUAGAUAUUAGGAGGAACACCAGUGGCGAAGGCGGCUCACUGGACUGUAACUGACGUUGAGGCACGAAAGCGUGGGGAGCAAACAGGAUUAGAUGCCCUUGUAGUC